UACGUAGGUGGCAAGCGUUGUCCGGAUUUACUGGGCGUAAAGCGUGCGCAGGCGGACAAGUAAGUAGGAAGUGAAAGGUUGGAGCUCAACUCCAACACUGCUCCCUAUACUGCUUGUCUUGAAUGUCGGAGAGGAAGAGGGAACGACACGUGUAGCGGUGAAAUGCGUUGAGAUGUGUCGGAACACCAAUGGCGAAAGCACUCUUCUGGACGAAUAUUACGCUCAGGCACGAAAGCUAAGGUAGCAAACAGG
rnacentral:rRNA from 1 species